UACAAUAAGUAAACCAGAUAUGUGUGGAAGGAAUACCUUCAACAGAUCUGUUGAUUUGUGUUGUCAAGGAAGACUAAUUGAGAAAGGAAUUGUUUAUGAGAUGCAAUGUUGUGGUGUUCAGCAAUAUUUUACUACAAAUCAAACUUGCCUGGAUGGAAUAAUGCGUAAUAACAGCAUCAGUUCUUUCAAAUUUAGUUCAAAUAUUCUAAUAAUCCUCCUUCUUGUACAUUGGUUUGUAAAACUGUAUGGCUUGGAAAUGAUAUGCUGAAAGUUAAACAGCUGAAACAGAAGAUGUUUAAAGAAUACGCCCUUCGGAAAAUCAAAACUUCCCUACAAGGGAAUGCAAGUUGGAAAAUAAAAUAUCGAAGAAGAAAAAAAAAUAGAAACAGAAGAAGAAUGAGAUCCACACAUAAUAAUGUAAAUAUGCUUAGGGAAAAGUUAACAAGAAAGUUGAAUCACUUUAAACAGAGAAGGAAUUCAAAUAAUAUUAUAAUGUUUCCUUGCGAUUGUAAACAUUUUUAUGGAAAUAAGGUAAACAAUGUUAUGUUACUAACAAAAGACAAUUUUCCUUUUAGAGAAAUAAGCGGUGAAUAUUAUCUUUAUAGAAAAAAAGGAAAAAACUGGAGUAAUUAGUAAUGCAAGUGUAAAAAGAAAUUAAAAAAAGUGACAUAUUUUUUGGAAGAACCAUUUCUAAUAGAACUAUGAUGACCGCUUUAUUUUGUUCUCUAUUUUUUAAUUCAUUGUUUCAUUGGUUCCUUUGCAAACAUUCUUAAUUUUAUUGUAAAAAUUGAACAUAAAUUUCUUCUCUAUUCCGAUGUAUAUGGUUUAAUGAGAAUAAAGAUAUAUAUAUAUAUAUAUAAGUAAGGAGCCUUUUGUAGUUGUGCUGAUCUAUAACUGUAUGCUGUGAUUUGAAAAAAAAACUCAUCAUAGAUACCAGGAUUGAAAUUUAGUACGACAGAAGCGCGUUUCGUCUUCAAGAGACUCACCGGUGACGAUCGAAUCAAAUAAGUUACAAAGGCCAAAUAAAGUGCAAAGUUGAAGAGCAUUGCUAAAUUACUAAAGAUUUUGUCAAGUACAUCUAAGGUAAUUUAUUCCUGAAAUCAUUUAACAGAAUGUUGUUAUAUGAUAUAUUUCUUCUCUUUAAUUAUUAAAUGUUUUACCUUGAUUUACUUUGGUUACAUGUAAUUAUUUAAAUGUUGUAACCACAUAAUUACAUGCUUGCACAACUUUUCUGGGAGCUCCAACAUGAUUUUUUUUUAAUAUUUCACCUAUGAAAUCUGAAAUAUUUGAAUAGGCAGAAUAAACCAGUCAGAAGAUACCAUAAAAUCAUAAAUUGAUUUAGCUGUUUUAAUGGGCUAUGAUUUCCCGUUUUCCUGCCGAAGGACUUUAUUUCUCUCUGGCUUUUUCCGCCAAUAAAAAAGUGGCAUAUUCGAUUUAGCCAACAAUGCUGAAAGUGGCGUUAAACACUUACAAUCCAUCAAUCAUUUUAACAGUUGAAGUUUAUUUUUUAAAUUUUAUCAUAUGAACGUUAUUUUAAUAAAAAAAACAAAUAAAUUCUCUCCUUUUGUAUUCAUUUUAAACCUCUUUUUGAUCUUCUUAAUGUAGAUUUAAAAUCCUGCACUGUCAAUCCCGUGCCUGGAUAAAUCCAUUUAUGACCUUCCAAAAUAGAAGAAAGCAAACACAAACUCAAUUGCAUUUCAACAAGUUAGAUUUUUUAUACCGAACGAUUUUGGGAUAGAGAUAUAGUAGCAAGUGC